UACGUAGGGGGCAAGCGUUGUCCGGAAUCAUUGGGCGUAAAGCGCGCGUAGGCGGCUCUGUAAGUCCGUUGUGAAAGUCAAAGGCUCAACCUUUGAAAGCCGAUGGAUACUGCAGGGCUAGAGUCCGGAAGAGGCGAGUGGAAUUCCUGGUGUAGCGGUGGAAUGCGCAGAUAUCAGGAGGAACACCAAUAGCGAAGGCAGCUCGCUGGGACGGUACUGACGCUGAGGCGCGAAAGCGUGGGGAGCGAACAGG
rnacentral:rRNA from 1 species